rnacentral:rRNA from 1 species
GCAUGGCGGAGCUACCAUGCAGUCGAGCGGAACGAUGGAAGCUUGCUUCCAGGCGUCGAGCGGCGGACGGGUGAGUAAUGCAUAGGAAUCUGCCCGAUAGUGGGGGAUAACCUGGGGAAACCCAGGCUAAUACCGCAUACGUCCUACGGGAGAAAGCAGGGGAUCUUCGGACCUUGCGCUAUCGGAUGAGCCUAUGUCGGAUUAGCUAGUUGGUGAGGUAACGGCUCACCAAGGCCGCGAUCCGUAGCUGGUCUGAGAGGAUGAUCAGCCACAUCGGGACUGAGACACGGCCCGAACUCCUACGGGAGGCAGCAGUGGGGAAUAUUGGACAAUGGGCGAAAGCCUGAUCCAGCCAUGCCGCGUGUGUGAAGAAGGCUUUCGGGUUGUAAAGCACUUUCAGUGGGGAAGAAAUCCUCGGGGCCAAUACCCUCGAGGGAGGACAUCACCCACAGAAGAAGCACCGGCUAACUCCGUGCCAGCAGCCGCGGUAAUACGGAGGGUGCGAGCGUUAAUCGGAAUUACUGGGCGUAAAGCGCGCGUAGGCGGCGUGAUAAGCCGGUUGUGAAAGCCCCGGGCUCAACCUGGGAACGGCAUCCGGAACUGUCAGGCUAGAGUGCAGGAGAGGAAGGUAGAAUUCCCGGUGUAGCGGUGAAAUGCGUAGAGAUCGGGAGGAAUACCAGUGGCGAAGGCGGCCUUCUGGACUGACACUGACGCUGAGGUGCGAAAGCGUGGGUAGCAAACAGGAUUAGAUACCCUGGUAGUCCACGCCGUAAACGAUGUCGACUAGCCGUUGGGGUCCUUGUGACCUUUGUGGCGCAGUUAACGCGAUAAGUCGACCGCCUGGGGAGUACGGCCGCAAGGUUAAAACUCAAAUGAAUUGACGGGGGCCCGCACAAGCGGUGGAGCAUGUGGUUUAAUUCGAUGCAACGCGAAGAACCUUACCUACUCUUGACAUCGUGCGAACUUUCCAGAGAUGGAUUGGUGCCUUCGGGAACGCACAGACAGGUGCUGCAUGGCCGUCGUCAGCUCGUGUUGUGAAAUGUUGGGUUAAGUCCCGUAACGAGCGCAACCCUUGUCCCUAUUUGCCAGCGAUUCGGUCGGGAACUCUAGGGAGACUGCCGGUGACAAACCGGAGGAAGGUGGGGACGACGUCAGGUCAUCAUGGCCCUUACGAGUAGGGCUACACACGUGCUACAAUGGCCGGUACAAAGGGUUGCGAAGCCGCGAGGUGGAGCUAAUCCCGAAAAGCCGGUCUCAGUCCGGAUCGGAGUCUGCAACUCGACUCCGUGAAGUCGGAAUCGCUAGUAAUCGUGAAUCAGAAUGUCACGGUGAAUACGUUCCCGGGCCUUGUACACACCGCCCGUCACACCAUGGGAGUGGACUGCACCAGAAGUGGUUAGCCUAACUUCGGAGGGCGAUCACCACGGUGUACGC